GCUUAACACAUGCAAGUCGAGGGGAAACGAUAGAGAAAGCUUGCUUUUUCUAGGCGUCGACCGGCGCACGGGUGAGUAACGCGUAUCCAACCUGCCCACCACUUGGGAAUAACCUUGCGAAAGUAAGACUAAUACCCAAUGAUAUCUCUAGAAGACAUCUGAAGGAGAUUAAAGAUUUAUCGGUGAUGGAUGGGGAUGCGUCUGAUUAGCUUGUUGGCGGGGUAACGGCCCACCAAGGCGACGAUCAGUAGGGGUUCUGAGAGGAAGGUCCCCCACAUUGGAACUGAGACACGGUCCAAACUCCUACGGGAGGCAGCAGUGAGGAAUAUUGGUCAAUGGGCGAGAGCCUGAACCAGCCAAGUAGCGUGCAGGAUGACGGCCCUAUGGGUUGUAAACUGCUUUUAUAAGGGAAUAAAGUGAGCCUCGUGAGGCUUUUUGCAUGUACCUUAUGAAUAAGGACCGGCUAAUUCCGUGCCAGCAGCCGCGGUAAUACGGAAGGUCCGGGCGUUGUCCGGAUUUAUUGGGUUUAAAGGGAGCGUAGGCCGGAGACUAAGCGUGUUGUGAAAUGUAGAUGCUCAACAUCUGCACUGCAGCGCGAACUGGUUUCCUUGAGUACGCACAAAGUGGGCGGAAUUCGUGGUGUAGCGGUGAAAUGCUUAGAUAUCACGAAGAACUCCGAUUGCGAAGGCGACUCACUGGAGCGCAACUGACGCUGAAGCUCGAAAGUGCGGGUAUCGAACAGGAUUAGAUACCCUGGUAGUCCGCACGGUAAACGAUGGAUGCCCGCUGUUGGUCUGAAUAGGU
rnacentral:rRNA from 2 species